rnacentral:rRNA from 1 species
AGACCCGAAACCCGGUGAUCUAGCCAUGGGCAGGUUGAAGGUUGGGUAACACUAACUGGAGGACCGAACCGACUAAUGUUGAAAAAUUAGCGGAUGACCUGUGGCUGGGGGUGAAAGGCCAAUCAAACCGGGAGAUAGCUGGUUCUCCCCGAAAGCUAUUUAGGUAGCGCCUCGUGAAUUCAUCUCCGGGGGUAGAGCACUGUUUCGGCUAGGGGGCCAUCCCGGCUUACCAACCCGAUGCAAACUGCGAAUACCGGAGAAUGUUAUCACGGGAGACACACGGCGGGUGCUAACGUCCGUCGUGAAGAGGGAAACAACCCAGACCGCCAGCUAAGGUCCCAAAGUCAUGGUUAAGUGGGAAACGAUGUGGGAAGGCCCAGACAGCCAGGAUGUUGGCUUAGAAGCAGCCAUCAUUUAAAGAAAGCGUAAUAGCUCACUGGUCGAGUCGGCCUGCGCGGAAGAUGUAACGGGGCUAAACCAUGCACCGAAGCUGCGGCAGCGACACUAUGUGUUGUUGGGUAGGGGAGCGUUCUGUAAGCCUGUGAAGGUGUGCUGUGAGGCAUGCUGGAGGUAUCAGAAGUGCGAAUGCUGACAUAAGUAACGAUAAAGCGGGUGAAAAGCCCGCUCGCCGGAAGACCAAGGGUUCCUGUCCAACGUUAAUCGGGGCAGGGUGAGUCGACCCCUAAGGCGAGGCCGAAAGGCGUAGUCGAUGGGAAACGGGUUAAUAUUCCCGUACUUGGUGUUACUGCGAAGGGGGGACGGAGAAGGCUAUGUUGGCCGGGCGACGGUUGUCCCGGUUUAAGCGUGUAGGCUGGUUUUCCAGGCAAAUCCG